rnacentral:rRNA from 1 species
UACAGAGGUCCCGAGCGUUUGUUCGGAUUCAUUGGGCGUAAAGGGUGCGUAGGCGGCUUUCUAAGUUUGAUGUGAAAUCCUGGGGCUCAACCCUGGAACUGCAUUGAAUACUGGGAGGCUAGAGAACUGGAGAGGAGACUGGAAUUUACGGUGUAGCAGUGAAAUGCGUAGAGAUCGUAAGGAACACCGGUGGCGAAGGCGGCCAACUGGACGGUGACUGACACUGAGACGCGAAAGCGUGGGGAGCAAACAGG